GCUAAGAAGGAGAUAAGGAAGGAUAGAAGGAGGUUAGGAAGGGUAGAAGGAGGAUAAAAAGGAGGUUAGGAAGGCAAGAAGGAGGUUAGGGACGAUAGAAGGAGUUUAGGAAGGAUAGAAGGAGGUAAGGAAGGAUAGAAGGAGGUAAGGAAGAAUAGAAGGAGGUUAGGAAGGAUAGAAGGAGAAGUUAAAGAAGCAGAACAAACAACAGGAGGUUAAACAUCGGACAGGUGCUGCCCUCAGGUGGUCAGGUUGUGCAG